rnacentral:tRNA from 1 species
GGGGCUAUAGCUCAGUGGUAGAGUGCAUGCUUAGCACGCACGAGGUCCUGGGUUCAAUUCCCAAUGCCUCCA